UUUUUUGGCGGCUCGAACGGGGAGCCGCAAGGCUCGCCGGUUCUCGCAAGGGGUGCCCGGUAGACCAACCUGUUCGAGUCGCCGCCUCC
rnacentral:antisense_RNA from 1 species